rnacentral:rRNA from 1 species
UCGUGGAUCAGAAUGCCACGGUGAAUACGUUCCCGGGCCUUGUACACACCGCCCGUCACACCAUGGGAGUGGGCUGCAAAAGAAGUAGGUAGUUUAACCUUCGGGGGGGCGCUUACCACUUUGUGGUUCAUGACUGGGGUGAAGUCGUAACAAGGUAGCGCUAGGGGAACCUGGCGCUGGAUCACCUCCUUAAACGAUGAU